UUGAACGCUGGCGGCAGGCCUAACACAUGCAAGUCGAACGGUAACAGGAAGAAGCUUGCUUCUUUGCUGACGAGUGGCGGACGGGUGAGUAAUGUCUGGGAAACUGCCUGAUGGAGGGGGAUAACUACUGGAAACGGUAGCUAAUACCGCAUAAUGUCGCAAGACCAAAGAGGGGGACCUUCGGGCCUCUUGCCAUCGGAUGUGCCCAGAUGGGAUUAGCUAGUAGGUGGGGUAACGGCUCACCUAGGCGACGAUCCCUAGCUGGUCUGAGAGGAUGACCAGCCACACUGGAACUGAGACACGGUCCAGACUCCUACGGGAGGCAGCAGUGGGGAAUAUUGCACAAUGGGCGCAAGCCUGAUGCAGCUAUGCCGCGUGUAUGAAGAAGGCCUUCGGGUUGUAAAGUACUUUCAGCGGGGAGGAAGGGAGUAAAGUUAAUACCUUUGCUCAUUGACGUUACCCGCAGAAGUAGCACCGGCUAACUCCGUG
rnacentral:rRNA from 1 species